UACGAGGGGUGCAAGCGUUGCUCGGAAUUAUUGGGCGUAAAGGGUAGGUAGGUGGUCUCAUUUGUCUGAUGUGAAAGCCUUGGGCUUAACUCAAGAAGUGCGUCAGAAACGGUGAGACUGGAGUCCUGGAGAGGGUCGUGGAAUUCCCGGUGUAGCGGUGAAAUGCGUAGAGAUCGGGAGGAACACCAGAGGCGAAGGCGGCGACCUGGACAGGUACUGACACUAAACUACGAAAGCGUGGGGAGCAAACAGG
rnacentral:rRNA from 1 species